UGAGUGGAACUGUUCCUCAGGGGGUCUAUAGUGCACGGUCUAAUGUGAUACUGUAGCUGACGGCUGAAUGGUUGCAAUUUUAUCUCUAAUAGUAUCGAUUUUAGAAGUAAAGUAGUUCAUAAAGUCAUUACUGCUGUGAUGUUGGGCAUAUGUUUCUUUUCUUCUUCUAAAAGAGACCAAUAGUAUGAAGCUUGGCAUACUACAUCUGUCAGGGAUCUGGCAAGCCCAGUCGCCACCAAUCACCAACACUCACAGUCAUCUGAUUACUAACAAGCCACACCUGCCACGCAUCACGGAACCAAUCAAGGACACCAUAAAAGCACUCACCUGUACCUCAGGUCCCUAACCGUGGAUCACCGUGCAAUGUCAAGUGUUUCGACGGUCACUUGGUCUCCUGUGAGUACCCCUAGCUGGUACUGUCUUUGGCUUAUAAGAAGGAAGAGCACAUUAAUGAGCGAUCAAUGACUGUGGCUUUGACCUCUGUGUUCCAAACAAACUCACCUGUGUUAUUCCCCGCUCCAUGUGAAUUCCAUACAAGCCUGCACUAGAAGAUCGAAGCUUCACCGAGCACUAAGGAACCGAAAACACUUAGCACUUGAAACUUUAUUAAAUCAACACCGUUCUGAAUUCACCUUUUACAUCUGUGUCAUGAGUCCUACCUGAUAACAUCCUGGUUGGACCACUGUAUAUCUACAGAUGAUGCACAUUGUAUAAAGGAGGCUGAGAUCCUAUAUUGGUUUGGCUACAGCCGACCAUAUUCCUGUCUCUAUGUUCAUAAGUGUUAACGGUCUACCUGAGCUUGUUUGUAGUGACAGUCAUAAAUCAGGUGAGAUACUAGACUGUGCAAGGUUACUGACUGAUGUGCACUUUAGAGAUAUUGAGGUACCUGUUGAUGCAAUUAUGUGUGUGGAUGCAGAUGUAAGAAUGUAAGUCACAAUGACCUUUUUGCACUGUAUGAUAGAAUUGUGAACCGUUUAGUUGAUGGAAGUGAACCACUAAGAAGUAAAGUAGGGAAACAACAUAUUGUAA